rnacentral:rRNA from 1 species
GACGAACGCUGGCGGCGUGCUUAACACAUGCAAGUCGAACGAUGAAGCCGGAGCUUGCUCUGGUGAAUUAGUGGCGAACGGGUGAGUAGCACGUGAGUAACCUGCCCUUGACUCUGGGAUAACUGCGGGAAACUGUAGCUAAUACCGGAUACGACCCUCGGAGGCAUCUCCUGGGGGUGGAAAGAAUUUCGGUCAAGGAUGGACUCGCGGCCUAUCAGCUAGUUGGUGAGGUAAAGGCUCACCAAGGCGACGACGGGUAGCCGGCCUGAGAGGGUGGUCGGCCACACUGUGACUGGGACACGGCGCAGACUCCUACGGGAGGCAGCAGUGGGGAAUAUUGCACAAUGGGCGCAAGCCUGAUGCAGCAACGCCGCGUGAGGGAUGACGGCCUUCGGGUUGUAAACUGCUUUUAUUAGGGACGAAUGUUGACGGUACCUAAUGAAUAAGAGGUUGCUAACUCUGUGCCAGCCGCCGCAGUAA